AGGAACAACAACAACAACAAAACAAAAAAAACUUGUGGGUCAUCUUAGAAUGGCCAAUUCGGCAGUAGGUAUUCAAAAUCAUUUAGCAUGAUUAGUUUCAAUUGCUUCAUAAAUAAAGAACUAUUAUGAGUCGGUUAUAUCAGAAACAUAUUGGACAACAUGACCACUGCAUCCCAAUCCACAAAAAAAAGUCAAGUCGUUCAUUUUAAUUAAUAGUUUAAAAAGAGAAGUUACUGGUUUGAAUGAGUUUGAAACCAUUUUCCCCCCACAUAUUAGCAACAUGGACAUUACAGUAGAAACAUACCUACUGUCAUUGAUUAAAAUUCAAAUAGAAAAGAAUCAAGAGAUAGUGAAAACAACUUGAACACAAUCAUGAAAUCUAUAUUGACACCCAGCCCUAUUUAUGAUUUCUGGCAUUGUUGUGCAACGUGCAAAAUUCACACUAGACGUAAAGAACAUCUGACAAACACAGUACCACAAUUCAACUGUCUUUACAUUUAUUAUAUGAACACAAGGCAGUCUCCCACACACUUCAGCACAAAAUUCAGCUGUGCAAUUAUCACUGAUAUUUUAGCCAUAAUAAUGCUUAGGAAAGCACUACAUAGGUAGUUCACUGUACUGUACAUGCAAAUUGACUCAAAACCACAGAUAAUUGGUUUGAAAUACAAGCUAAACCUUCUGGUCGACAUAUUCAAAGUGUGUGCAGAGUUCUUACAUGAACCAAAAAGACACUGAGGAAGAACUUAGCUUUCAUUCAUCACCAUUCACUUU